GAUGAACGCUGGCGGCGUGCCUAAUACAUGCAAGUCGAGCGAACAGACGAGGAGCUUGCUCCUCUGACGUUAGCGGCGGACGGGUGAGUAACACGUGGAUAACCUACCUAUAAGACUGGGAUAACUUCGGGAAACCGGAGCUAAUACCGGAUAAUAUAUUGAACCGCAUGGUUCAAUAGUGAAAGACGGUUUUGCUGUCACUUAUAGAUGGAUCCGCGCCGCAUUAGCUAGUUGGUAAGGUAACGGCUUACCAAGGCAACGAUGCGUAGCCGACCUGAGAGGGGGAUCGGCCACACUGGAACUGAGACACGGUCCAGACUCCUACGGGAGGCAGCAGUAGGGAAUCUGACGCAAUGGGCGAAAGCCUGACGGAGCAACGCCGCGUGAGUGAUGAAGGUCUUCGGAUCGUAAAACUCUGUUAUUAGGGAAGAACAAAUGUGUAAGUAACUAUGCACGUCUUGACGGUACCUAAUCAGAAAGCCACGGCUAACUACGUG
rnacentral:rRNA from 1 species